UACAGAGGUCUCAAGCGUUGUUCGGAUUCAUUGGGCGUAAAGGGCGCGUAGGCGGGCCGCCAGGUCCGGGGUGAAAGCCUCCAGCUCAACUGGAGAAGUGCCUUGGAUACCGGCGGCCUCGAGGGAGGCAGGGGCGUGCGGAACUUCGGGUGGAGCGGUGAAAUGCGUAGAUAUCCGAAGGAACACCGGUGGCGAAAGCGGCGCGCUGGACCUCUUCUGACGCUGAGGCGCGAAAGCCAGGGGAGCAAACGGG
rnacentral:rRNA from 1 species